CACGGCUUCGACGUGGGUCGCGAAACCUUCGGGGCAUGCCGAGGUGCAGAUUUCCUCGUUAAUCCAGCUGCACGCAAAUAGUUGCCAACAACGACAACUACGCCCUGGCGGCCUAAUCCCCGCCAGCCCCUUUUCCCGGUUCGCCUGUGGGCAGGGAUAAAAGGGGUCGAUUCACGCAGGACCGCGUGCCGCUGCGUCCGUUAGCGGCGCGUUAAAUCUCAAGCGGGCUACGCUUGCUGGCGCUCCUGUCUGUCGGAGACCAGUCGGUUAAAUAUAAAGACAGACUACGCAUGUAGAACCGGACGGUAGAGGGCUUGCGGACGCGGGUUCGAUCA
rnacentral:tmRNA from 1 species